GUGCUUGCUUCAACAGCACAUAUACUAAAACUGGAACAAUAUCGAGAAGAUUAGCAUGGCCCCUACACAAAAAAGACACAAAUUCAGGAAGCGUUUCAUAUUUAA
rnacentral:snRNA from 1 species